AACCAAUUACAUAACCUUGUCAAGGCUAAAUCACAGGUGAAAACCCUGUACACCUUC
rnacentral:tRNA from 1 species